UAGGUGCUAUAUAUAAAAAUGGGCAGGCACCCACUGAAAUCAUAUCACCUGUCCUGGAAGCCACUCUGGACCAUUACAAAUUGAGCAGACUUUAUAACAAGGUCACUCUGGAUCUAGACUGCCAAGAGUACUCCAACGAAGAAACAUGUUUUCGUCCAGACACCUCCAUCACUCCCAGUGUUGAUGCCGCCCCUGUUGACCAACUUCUGACCACCAGAGACACUGCCCCCCAUGUCGCUGAUACUGAUCCCACCACCACCUCCAAAGGCGGGCGCCAUCGUUAUUCCAUUGGGUUGAUUUGUUUCUUUCCUCUGGUAGUGAUCGUUGUUGUCUGAUCCACA